UACGGAGGGUGCAAACGUUGCUCGGAAUCAUUGGGCGUAAAGCGCACGUAGGCGGACCGCUAAGUCGGAUGUGAAAUCCCUCGGCUUAACCGAGGAAGUGCAUUCGAAACUGACGGUCUUGAGUGUGGGAGAGGCGCGUGGAAUUGCAGGUGUAGCGGUGAAAUGCGUAGAUAUCUGCAGGAACACCCGUGGCGAAAGCGGCGCGCUGGACCACUACUGACGCUGAGGAACGAAAGCUAGGGGAGCAAACAGG
rnacentral:rRNA from 1 species